UCGUCUAGAUCUUGCGGUGCAGGACUAGUAGAAGCUUUGUUGUUGUUUUUGUUUUUCUCAUCUUCACGUUGCUAUAUAAAUAAGCAUACUGGAAAUUAUUAAAUAGCUGAAAUUGAGGAUAAUAACAUUCUAAUUCAUGCAAGAAUGUAGACUGAAGAUAAGUCUGGGGCACUGUUUUGAAAAUCAGAAAAUUAUGUAAAAUUUACUAAUAUUUGAAUUUAUAUUUGAACAUUUGUAAGAUUCGCUGUAACCCCCUAUAAGUUCGAGGUUAUGCAUCCCUAGCAUUGAAAUGGCAGAAGAAAGCAAUCAGACAUGCAUCUGUUUUUUGAGAGGCAUUAUGAUAAGUAUCAGAGAAACAUCCUACAAAGUAUCUUGGUCACUCUCCUCAUUUCACUUAUGUGACACAUCUGACCAUUUGACUGUUUUUAAUUGCAGACACUACCCAAGAAUUAUGAUAACAGAAAGCCUAUGUUAGAAGUUUUUCUGUAUUUGAACAGUUUAUUGUAUUUUAAGUCUCUAAUUCGCAUUAUUCCGUUGCCUUCAGAAAAAUGAAAAUAUAACUGGCAUAAGUGAAUUUGGGAAAAUCCCAUCCAUGAUGUACUUCUUACCUCUUUGGAAUUCUUUACCUAUGAUUCUUAUUGUCUCAAAUGUGGAAUUCACACUGCUCAGCUCUGCGUUGGCAUCUUGGUAUGCUUCAGCCACAGCACUGAGGUGCAUUGGACUACAACACCUGUAACCCCAGCCAGCUGCUGAAGACUUAGCUGCAACAGUCAGAGGAGCUGCAUGCUGAUAAUAUAAUCUUGCCAGCCAAA